rnacentral:lncRNA from 1 species
UAGAAAACACCACAGAUUCCUCAUCUUGAAACUCCUCCCACAACCCACGUAUAAUCUUCACACAACACGACUGCAAUGAGUUUUCCAUUGUCGCCUUACGUCUCCGGCGAAAUCGCUACCACAUUCAACAUACACAUAAUCGUCCCACCAUAUAACCAUCAAUCUAUAAGUAUUUUCGUCCUAUGAAGGCUAUAAACUAGAAGAUUAAUGACUCUUUCGAAGAGUGAAAAUCAAGGCAAUAAUGCAGUCAAGGCCUUAGAUAGAAUGGGUAAAAGAAAGGUAGAUAAAGUACAUAAUGUUUUCCCAUCUAAAAGGCACAAACGGACUGGACUGGGUCAGUCCCAAAAUCAACCACGAAGAAGGUAUUUUCCAAAAAUCAAUUAGGUAAUUCAAUUAUAUCUUAUGUAUGAACCCGAAAUUGAUGGUUACUGAGUAUUGAAAACGUGUUCUAUAUUUGGGAAGUAUGCUCUAAUCAAUUUGUGACAUAUGAGUUGAGUGAUUCAAUUUGUGACCUGUGAGUUAAGUGCAUUUUGAUAUUCAUUUUUCUGUAAUCAAAUUACUUUUUAUUAUUAAUUUUAGUAUUUCAAAUCCCUAUUACCAUUUGGAAUAGUUUAGCAAGUUUGUAUGACUUUGAAUUUCAUCAGAAUUAUAACAUAUAAAAUGUGUCGUUUCCUAUUAGGUCAAGGCCAGAGACCAAGUAUUCUAACCAAAAGGAUAGACAUUACUAAUAUUAGUUAUUUACCUCUUUUACAAAUUCUAGUAACUCUUAAAUUGUCCAACUGUUAACUAAUUGGUUACAUUUUAUUCAUUCGUCAUAAUACUCCAAUUACUCUCAUAUGUACGAACCUAAAAUUGCUGGUUACUAAGUAUUGAUGACCUGUUUUAUAUUUGUGAAGUAUGCUCUAUUCAAUUUGUGACCUAUGCUUUGAGUGCAUUUUGGUAUUCGAUUGUGUGACUCAUAAGAUGGGAUUCUGGCGUUGUUUAAUUUAUGAAUUAGUAAUCAUCUAAGUAACUACGUUUGUGAACUGCAAAUCCAUGUGUGAUCAACAUUUGUGUUUGGAGGUUGUGACCUAAGAAGUAGCAAUGAAAUAAAUAGCCCUACUUGUGGUAUGCCAAUCAAUAUGUGAACCAACUUCUUUCCUUAUUAUGUUACAAAUAUGCAUCUUUGUCUGUCGUGACCUAGAAAUUUUUGUGAUUUUCUACAUUAGUUUGUACUCAAUUAUGCCUUUGUGACUUCUCUAUACAUCUGUGACAAUUUCUUAUUGUUUUGUGACAAUAUAUAGGUUUUCAAGUUCAUUAUACCAGAGAAUAGUUGGUUUCUUUGUAAAAUCCCACAAAGUGUGUUUUGAUAAGAAUUAAAACAAGUCUAACAAAGUUGAAGGUGAUGCUUGAUUUCUCCAUUCGCAACAGAAAAAUGGUGACCUCUACUUUAUAGUUACACGGACUAAUAUUGGAUUCCAUACCUAAUGAACUGCAUUUUUUCAGACAUGAUCAUAACAUAUAUGUGAUCAAAUAUGCUGAGUACAUGCUACAUAAUGAUAUAGGCUAUAUGUCGAUGAAAUUUGAUGCGGACAGAGCUCAGCUGUAUAUAACGUCGUUGUUGUUUAAACAUUAAAAAAUUAGAAAGGCCACAAAGAAUGUGCAGUAAACUGGAGGAAAAGGCAUCGUCAUAGAGUGAUAGGAAAAAUGCAAUCUGAAAAAAACAUGAAAUUGUAAUAGAUAGAAUAUGAAGUGUUUUUUGCAUUCUAAUUUGUAAUAACUACGUAUCUUUUGUACUUGAGAAUUUUAAUUAGUUUACAACAACUUUGGCAGGAUCCUGCACAGAUCACAUAUUUGUAUUAAAUAGUCACAUGUUACUGUGUAUGUCAUGGCACAGGUCAUAUCCGAUUUUAUUAUGGUCAUAGCAGACGUGAACAUAUAUGUUUUUCACAUGGGUCACAUUACACCCACACAGUAAAACAUUACAAGUCACAUAUUCAUAUGAUCAAAGAAUAGGUCACAUGAUGAUACUAUAAUGUUCAAAACACGGGUCACAUAUAUUUUCUCACAUUGG